rnacentral:rRNA from 1 species
GAUGAACGCUAGCGGCAGGCCUAAUACAUGCAAGUCGAACGGUGUAGCAAUACACAGUGGCGCACGGGUGCGUAACACGUAUGCAACCUACCUUACAUUGGGGGAUAGCCUUUCGAAAGGGAGAUUAAUACCGCAUAAGACAGUAACUAGGCAUCUAGUAGCUGUUAAAGAUUUAUCGAUGUAAGCUGGGCAUGCGUCCAAUUAGUUAGUUGGCGAGGUAAUGGCUCACCAAGACGAUGAUUGGUAGGGGAACUGAGAGGUCAAUCCCCCACACUGGCACUGAGAUACGGGCCAGACUCCUACGGGGGGCAGCAGUAGGGAAUAUUGGGCAAUGGGCGCAAGCCUGACCCAGCCAUGCCGCGUGCAGGAAGAAGGCGUUAUGCGUCGUAAACUGCUUUUAUACAGGAAGAAACGACCCUUGCGAGGGGCAUUGACGGUACUGUAUGAAUAAGCACCGGCUAACUCCGUGCCAGCAGCCGCCGUAAAAC